rnacentral:rRNA from 1 species
GACGAACGCUGGCGGCGUGCUUAACACAUGCAAGUCGAACGGAAAGGCCCUGCUUUUGUGGGGUGCUCGAGUGGCGAACGGGUGAGUAACACGUGAGUAACCUGCCCUUGACUUUGGGAUAACUUCAGGAAACUGGGGCUAAUACCGGAUAGGAGCUCCUGCUGCAUGGUGGGGGUUGGAAAGUUUCGGCGGUUGGGGAUGGACUCGCGGCUUAUCAGCUUGUUGGUGGGGUAGUGGCUUACCAAGGCUUUGACGGGUAGCCGGCCUGAGAGGGUGACCGGCCACAUUGGGACUGAGAUGCGGCCCAGACUCCUACGGGAGGCAGCAGUGGGGAAUAUUGCACAAUGGGCGGAAGCCUGAUGCAGCAACGCCGCGUGCGGGAUGACGGCCUUCGGGUUGUAACCCGCUUUCGCCUGGGACGAAGCGUGAGUGACGGUAAUGGGUAAAGAAGCACCGGCUAACUACGUG